CAGAAAGCUGUUUUAUCCGAGAAACAUCUGCCAACAUCCUUGAGAUGGUGCUUUUAACAUCCUUGAAUUAUGCAGACCCUUAUGAAUGGCUCUUAACAGGCUGUGAGCUCCAGACCAAAAAAGGCAUGGACACUUACCAGCUGAGCUCUUCACUUUGGAGUCUAGUGUUUGUUAUCCAGAAAUUCAAAGCGGCUACUAUUCUUCAGCUGGGUCCAAAGGUAGGAAGCUGGGCUCUUUCUGAGAUGGUCAUAUCCUUGGUGUGGCUGAACCCAUUUAACCCCAUUAUUUGAGAACAAAUGCGUUCAUACACAUGAGCGUGUUUAUAUGCACUGAGACGUUUCUCCCUUGGUUUUGCUUCUUGAGUGUCCAGCCAGAAUAAUAGGUUCUUAUAGUCAAAAAGCCUAUGCUUUUAAAUUUUGGGGGAGUGACCACGAAUAAAGCUUCCAAUUCCCUGGACCCU
rnacentral:lncRNA from 1 species